GGUGACAGAGUGACACCCUAACUCAAAAAAAAUGAAUAAAUAGAGAGAGACAGAGAGAAAUAGACACAGAGGGGAGAAUACUACAUGAAAAUAGAGGCAGAUUGGAGUGAUGGAUCUAUAAGCCAAGGAACAACCAAGAAUUGCCAGCAACCACCAGAAGCUAGAAGAGAUGAGUUCUUCUUUAGAGCUUCGGAGAGUGUAUGAUCCUGGUAACACCCUGAUUUUGAACUUUUAGCCUCCAGAACUGUGAGAGAAGUCCUACUUUUAGGAACCAUGUUAUACUUUGUCCAAGAAAAUUGCCAGGUCCUCUGUGCCAUUUUCCCAGGCUCUUACUAGGGUUGUUGGUGGAAGCUUUGUUGAAGAAGAAUUGGUUGAG